CAGAGGGUAUUUUAAGUUAAAAUGUUAAUUUUGGGGAUUAAUGAUGGGGUUUUCCUCUCUCUGA
rnacentral:tRNA from 1 species